rnacentral:piRNA from 1 species
UGGUAAAUGUUCAUUUGACUAUUUAUUUUGC